rnacentral:rRNA from 1 species
UAGGGAAUAUUGGACAAUGGGGGCAACCCUGAUCCAGCCAUGCCGCGUGAGUGAAGAAGGCCCUCGGGUUGUAAAGCUCUUUUGUCCGGAAAGAAAAGCAUUCGGUGAAUACCCGGAUGUUCUGACGGUACCGGAAGAAUAAGCACCGGCUAACUUCGUGCCAGCAGCCGCGGUAAUACGAAGGGUGCAAGCGUUACUCGGAAUUACUGGGCGUAAAGCGUGCGUAGGUGGUUGUUUAAGUCUGAUGUGAAAGCCCUGGGCUCAACCUGGGAAUGGCAUUGGAAACUGGGCAGCUAGAGUGCGGUAGAGGGUAGUGGAAUUCCCGGUGUAGCAGUGAAAUGCGUAGAGAUCGGGAGGAACAUCUGUGGCGAAGGCGACUGCCUGGACCAGCACUGGCACUGAGGCACGAAAGCGUGGGGAGCAAACA